rnacentral:rRNA from 1 species
UACAGAGGUCUCAAGCGUUGUUCGGAUUCAUUGGGCGUAAAGGGUGUGUAGGUGGCGCCGUAAGUCGGGUGUGAAAUUUCGGAGCUUAACUCCGAAACUGCAUUCGAUACUGCAGUGCUUGAGGACUGGAGAGGAGACUGGAAUUCAUGGUGUAGCAGUGAAAUGCGUAGAGAUCAUGAGGAAGACCAGUGGCGAAGGCGGGUCUCUGGACAGUUCCUGACACUGGAGCACGAAGGCCAGGGGAGCAAACGGG